rnacentral:rRNA from 1 species
AUGAACGCUGGCGGCGUGCCUAAUACAUGCAAGUCGAGCGCACAGAUGAGGAGAUUGCUCCUCUGACGUUAGCGGCGGACGGGUGAGUAACACGUGGAUAACCUACCUAUAAGACUGGGAUAACUCCGGGAAACCGGAGCUAAUACCGGAUAAUAUAUUGAACCGCAUGGUUCAAUAGUGAAAGACGGUUUUGCUGUCACUUAUAGAUGGAUCCGCGCCGCAUUAGCUAGUUGGUAAGGUAACGGCUUACCAAGGCAACGAUGCGUAGCCGACCUGAGAGGGUGAUCGGCCACACUGGAACUGAGACACGGUCCAGACUCCUACGGGAGGCAGCAGUAGGGAAUCUUCCGCAAUGGGCGAAAGCCUGACGGAGCAACGCCGCGUGAGUGAUGAAGGUCUUCGGAUCGUAAAACUCUGUUAUUAGGGAAGAACAAAUGUGUAAGUAACUAUGCACGUCUUGACGGUACCUAAUCAGAAAGCCACGGCUAACUACGUG